CGGGAUGAGCUCAAAUUUAAAAUCUGGCGGUUUAGGCCGUCCGAGUUGUAAUCUGGAGAAGCGUUUUCUGCGUUGGACCGUGUACAAGUCUCUUGGAACAGAGCGUCAUAGAGGGUGAGAAUCCCGUCCACGAC
rnacentral:rRNA from 1 species